rnacentral:rRNA from 1 species
CGGUAUAUUGACCGUGCGAAGGUAGCAUAAUAAUUAGUCUUUUAAUUGAAGACUGGAAUGAAAGGUUGAACAAGAAGUUAGCUGUCUCUAAAUUAAAUUUUGAAUUUAACAUUUAAGUGAAAAGGCUUAAAUAUUUUAAAGGGACGAUAAGACCCUAUAAAUCUUUACACUUGAUUUUAUAGAGCAAAAUAUUAAAAUAAUUUUUGUUCAAUAAGUUUGGGUAUUUUGUUGGGGCGACAGGAGUAUAAAAUGUAACUGCUCUAAAAUGAUAGUUAGUUGAUAUUUAGUUAAGUGAUCCUUUAAUAAAGAUGUUAGUUUAAGUUACUUUAGGGAUAACAGCGUAAUUUUUUUUGAGAGUCCAUAUCGAAAAAAAAGUUUGCGACCUCGAUGUUGAAUUAAAGAUCCUUUACGGUGCAGAAG